CACGUAGGAGGCAAGCGUUAUUCGGAUUUACUGGGCGUAAAGCGCACGCAGGCGGUUCGAUAAGUUGGAUGUGAAAGCUCCUGGCUUAACUGGGAGAGGUCGUUCAAUACUAUCGGACUUGAGGAUGAGAGAGGGAGGUGGAAUUCCGGGAGUAGUGGUGGAAUGCGUAGAUAUUCGGAGGAACACCAGUGGCGAAAGCGGCCUCCUGGCUCAUAACUGACGCUCAUGUGCGAAAGCUAGGGUAGCAAACGGG
rnacentral:rRNA from 1 species